rnacentral:rRNA from 1 species
UGGCGGCGUUGCUCAUCCAUGCAAGAAAAGAAGAAAGGCCUCUUCGGGGGUACUCGAGCGGCGAACGGUCUACUCACACGUGAGCAACCUUCCUCUGACUUUGGGAUAACCCUCGGAAACGGGGGCUAAUACCGGAUAUGGCGCCUUGGGGCAUCUUGGGGUGUGGAAAGUUUUUUCGGUCAGGGAUGGGCUCGCGGCCUAUCAGCUUGUUGGUGGGGUGAUGGCCUACCAAGGCGACCACGGGUAGCCGGCCUGAGAGGGCGACCGGCCACACUGGGACUGAGACUCUGCCCACACUCCUACAGGAGGCAGCAGUGGG